AUGGCGCCGUCGGUGCCGAAGAAGAAGCGCAAGGUGAGCCUCCCGGAGAACGAGGUCGCGGCCAGGAUCUUCGAGAAGCACCGCUCCAUGGCGGCGCAGCAGCCGGCCGGCCUCCCGGACCACCAGGCCCGCGCGCUCUCCGCCGCCUACACCGGCGUUUCCUCCGCCAAGGAGCCCGUCCGGACCCCCGGCGACCUGGCCCGUCCCAAGUGCGCAACCCCCCGCCUCUCUCGAACCUCUUCCUCAUACGCUGCUGAGACGAGCCUGGGUUCCGGUCGAUUUCGGGGUCUCGCGCUUUGGAUCAGCGCUGCAGUCACACUGCUGCUCUAA
rnacentral:rRNA from 1 species